UUUACAACGCUCUGCUGUCAUGGGCAAACAAACCAACCCCCGAGCGUGAGUCACCAUAAAGUUAAUGUCUUUUGGAGUCACGCACUCAGCGGCCAUGAUU
rnacentral:antisense_RNA from 1 species